GUUCCCUCCGGGUGCCACACAGGCCCCAAGCUCAGGGAUGAGAAGAUGGACCAUCCUACAGAGAGGACAGAGGACAGGCUGAGAUUCAGCUCCAAAUCCAGAUCCCAGCCUCGCCGCGCACCUUGACUGGCUGGCCGUUGCUGGUCCGCAGGAGGCUCUCGUCGUCCGCUUCAAUGCCGAAGGCCACGAAGGGCCCCGUGGCGAUGUCCCCCCAGUACCCGCGCGCUGCCACGCGCUCCCCACGCUGGAAAAGGAGGGAGAGAGGAGGCAGGUAAUCUAGAGAUGAUUUGCGGUGUAUGGGACCAUGUGUACAGGCUAUUUGGCUAGGCUGAAGAUCAGCAUGUGUCGGGCCACAGCUUCCAGAUUAUUCUCCAGCACAAAGAACUAGAAGGACGGACAGGGCAGAAGAAUUCUGAGACCUGUUUGCCUGGGCCCUAGGAGACCCAGAAGAGCAGGCCCUCAGCUCUCUCCUUCCACACACCCGAGUUCUGUACACCAGCCUCUUCCUUCAAACACAGAAGUCCGUGUCCCCAGAGCUCUCUUCCCUUCCGUUACUCAGAAGACCUGAUCCUCGAGCUCUUCCCCACUGUAGAACCCAGGAGUUCCAAACCCCAGCCCCUUCCUUCCCCAAGACGCAUGGGUUCACUCCCAGCUUCCGCCUCCCUCAGAUCUAGGAGUCUCCAGCCCCUUCAUUCCUGGACCUGAGGUUUUAGAAUUUCAAUCCCUUCCUCCCUCAAGGACUCGGGAAUCUGGGCUCUCAUCUUCAUCCCAGCUCACGUUGAACCUCCUGCGAGGCCAGAGCUUCGCUCGGGACAGGGUCCGCAGCAGGUGCCGUCCAUCCACAGAGCCCAGAAGCAGCACAUCUAGCUCGGGGGUCCUGUGCACCGUAUCGGCCUGGGAGUCUGGGUCCACAGGAGGACCUGGCAAGAUGACAGCCAGCUGGGGCACCAUGGUGGUUGGCAGAGCGUCCACCUUAGCAGCCCCUACAACAAUGGACUACAAAUCCCAGUAGGCGUUCCGCCCGUGGCCUAGGUUCUAAGGGGAGGUGUUUCCUCUGAGUAUUCUGGGAUUCGUAGUCCGCAGACAGGACCUCGGGGCUGCCGCUGGGAGCGCGCCCUCUGCCGCUGGAGCGUUGGAGAACGUUAGCGCACCCCACUGCCACCGACGCUGGGACUACGAGCUCUAAAAGGCCGUCUGCUCAGGCUGGGAAGGCAGACGGUGUAUCAGACCUUGAGUGCUGAGACUUACUUUCAGCCUGCAGGUCCAGGGCCGGGGACAGGCCCCACCAGGACACGGAGCCGAAACCCCUGCCGGAGCCGGCAGGUGUGGUCAUCACCCUGCGGAAAAGACAUUCUGGGAAUCCCACACAUUGCCCGCCCCGCUCCCCUCUCACCGCCCCUCACUUCUCGCCCCUUUGCCUCCACAUGAUACCCUGCCCACACCUUUAUCCUCCAAAUAUCCCGGGACGCCCCUUCCUCUCCGCUCAGUGCAGCACUGUGGACCCGCGGCACUCCACAACCGCUGCCCAGAGUCCCCGCCCUUUUCGAUGAAUCAACCAAUGGGAGCAUGUAGGAUGGGACCACAGAGAGCAACUGACCAAUGAGAGUGAGCGAGGCCCGCCCUCUACAAACUUUUGGCCAAUGGGAGCACUGAGGGCUAGCCUUCCCCCACACCUAGGAGAAGAGGGCGUGUGGACGCGGUUGUCAUGACGACGGCGCUGGCGGGGGAAGGGGCGGGGCUGGAACAAGUUGGGGCGGAGUCAGGGUCGGUCCAAAUUUCCGGAAUGGGGGAGGCCUUGGGCUGAUUAAAAUUGAGAGUGAAUGCA